AUAUAAUUAGCCUUUAUUUGUGCACCAAUCAAAAUAGGAUAUGUGAUGGCAUCAUCACCUUUCCCUUUAUAAGGGGUAACAUUUAGUCUGGUGCUUCAUUGCACAGGUACUGAGCGUCCACUGCAGAUAUAUAGAAGGUUUCCUUUCUAAGUGACCCUUCAGUACCUUGUUUUCCGAAUUUUUGUACAAGUUAUCUCACCACAAGGCCACACUGAUUGUUCAUCAGAAAGCCUCGGUGUUAUAUUGAAGUUUCCAUCAUGCAUGUAUGAACAAGUUUUGUCGCAUUAUACUGUUUGUAUAAACUACUGUACUUCUCAGCUGCUUGAGAGAUACCCCUGAUGAAGUCUUUUGUAUAAGACGAAACGCAUUGGGUUGUCUGUGUUGUGAAGCGAUCUCCGAACCAACUACAGGUUAAGUAUCCCAUAUCCAAAUAUCCGAAAUACGGAAUAUUCCGAAAUAUGGACUUUUUUGAGCGAGAGUGAGAUAGUGAAACUUUUGUUUUCUUAUGGCUCAAUGUACACAAACUUUGUUUAAUACACACAGUUAUUAAAAAUAUUGUAUUAAAUGAC